CAGACAGCCCGCUUGUAUUUGGACGGCUCUCAUUGUUACGUGUUUCACUUCCUUACGCUGCAAUGAGACCUGCCUCCCUGAACUUGCUCCCCGUUUGUCUCUGUCUCGCCCUCCGAAGCUGUGCAGAAUAUGUUUAAUCCUUCGGCACCAUCGUUCUCCAGACGUUUGAAGCCAGCUGUGAGAUCCUCCCCCUAACUUUUCUCUUUUCCAGCACUCAUCUCGCCCUCCUGUUAUGAAAGUAAACAACCAAUGUGUGUUAAUGCCCUCUCUGUGCUGGAAUGCUGGUGCUCAGGGGUGGUUCCCCAGACCAGCAGCAUCAGCAGUGGCUGAGUACUUCUGUUAGAAAUGCCAAUCAGAAACUCCGGGGGCGGAAUCCAGCCAUCUGUGUUUCAACAAGCCCAGGAGAUUCCCACAAGGAGCAUUUCCUGGAAGCAGAACUUGUCUCUCACUGAAACAGGACGUGACUAUGAGGCGUGUUCCAAUUUCAGCUGUUGGCGCCCCGGCUGCCAGGAGGAAGCCACAGCCCCAGCCCCAUCCUUGGUGGAGAGUGCCGGAGAGCGUGGCCGCUUCCUGAGGCCGGCAGAGCAUUCCAGUCUUCCUCACGCAGUCUUAGCCGUCAGACUGGGGACUAACCCUACUUGGAGUCGAUAUUCCUGCAAGAAACCUUCACUUAGGAAGUUUGAUCUUUGCCACAUCACAGAGACGGGGAGAGAGUAGGCCUUAGUUUUCACCUGUGGCUUAAUAUUAAUAUGUAAAUAUAUGAAAGAGAAAGCAGAAAUUGAGUGGACCCAGCCACCUGAGACCUUGGGGUCUUUAUUUAUUCCAGUAUUAAUUGUUUUUAUGAGAGGAUUAUUCAGCUGCACACACUGAAAGGACAGAGGACAGAAGGCUCCAUUUACCUAGGCUCCAUAUAAUCAAAAUGCAAGGAGUUUUAGCAUUUUUCUAACACCGAAAGAAACCUUGGCUAAGGUAUUUUAAAGCAAAAAUUAGCAACAUUGCUUGAAUCUUAGAUUAGAUAGAAGGAUUUAACGCCCCUGAAAGAACUCUCAGGCAUUUAUCCAGUGGUCUGUGGGUAAACCUCCAGUCAGCUUUUUGAGGGGAAAUUGGGAAGUAGAAGUGAAUUGCUGUUUUUUAAAACUCCCUCAUAUUCCAUAAUCCACAAUUCCAUUUUCCUGGGGUGCUUUGUAGAAUAUGUCUUAUCCUGCUCUAAAGGGUGUCUUUCACUGUUAAAAGUUGAGUGUUUCCUUGGUGACUAGAGUGGCACUUUUUCUCGUGAGCCUGUCUCCUCGUAGGACCUUGGUGACAGGGGUUGGUGAAUGGUUGUCUUUCUUGGAUUAUCUUAUUGCUGGUAUAGUUCAGAAUCGUGGAACUGUUUAUAACUAAAAGAGACUUUCAGGGAUGACAGUCUGAAUUCUUUUAUUUUCAAACAAGAAAACCAAGUCCAGAAAGUUUGUGUGACUUGCCCAAGGUCACAGAGUCUUGCCCAAGGUCACAGGAAGGCAGCUGUGACAAGAAUUCAAGCUUCUCCACUCUCAGUCAAGGACUGAGGACAUCACCCUAUUGCUUUGCUAGUUCUUUUGGUUUUUAAUACCUGAAAUUCUUUACCCUCUCGGGACUUGCCGGAGCGUUUGGCCAACCUGGUACAGAUAACAGGCUUUUUCUCAAGCAAUGAGGUUUUGAUCCUAUCAGAGAACACCCAGACGGGGAGCGAGCUCUCUGCUCCCAGGGGUGGACACAGAUUAGAUAGACAUUUGGAAGGCUGGACGCCCGGAAGGAAAGGUGACACAUUACAGGGUUCGGGCUGCCCUUAUUACUAAGCAUUCUGAUGGCGUUCUGAUUCCUGAUGGCAUCCUGCAGGAGAGAGAGAGAGCUCUUUCCUAUUGACUCUGAUUUGUCUCCACAGUCUCUCUCACAACAGAGCCAGAGGCCAGUCUUGACUAAAAGGAGAUAGAUACAGAUCGUCUUUUUAAAGAAAAAUUUUGCAACGGCGGAGGUAGGCUCCAAAUCUGGGAAAAGUUUGGAUUUUUGAGAAUGAAUACAAAUUAAAUGCAUUUCAAAAAAAUUAAAUGAACAUGAGGGGGAACAUUAAUGGAACCCUCCAUAAAAUUUUAAAAAAUCACCUACAAAUCUCAAUACGUCCACAAAUUAUUUUCAGAAAACAACAGGGGUUCUAAGAGACUGAAGCAUAUUCAUUUUGAUGAGUAACUGCUUGGGUCCUCUUGAAUGUACUGGGC
ensembl:lncRNA